UACGAAGGGGCUAGCGUUGCUCGGAAUCACUGGCGUAAAGCGCACGUAGGCGGAUUGCUAAGUCAGGGUGAAAUCCUGGAGCUCAACUCCAGAACUGCCUUUGAUACUGGUGAUCUUGAGUCCGGAGAGGUGAGUGGAACUGCGAGUGUAGAGUGAAAUUCGUAGAUAUUCGCAAGAACACCAGUGGCGAAGGCGCUCACUGGCCGUACUGACGCUGAGGUGCGAAAGCGUGGGAGCAACAG
rnacentral:rRNA from 1 species